GGUAGUGGCGGGCUAGGAGGCGGGGGAGUGGGGGGGGUGCGAGGGCUCAGCGGAAGUACGGGGAGUAGAGCGUGCGGAGGCGGAUGGUGCAGUCAGCGGGGAAAGCCCCUGGCUCAACCUGGGAACGGCGGUUGAGACGGCCCGUCUCGAGUGGGCUAGAGGAGCGUGGAAUUCCGGGUGUAGCGGUGAAAGGCGUAGAGAUCCGGAGGAACACCGAUGGCGAAGGCAGCGAUCUGGGGCCACACUGACGCUGAGGCACGAAAGCGUGGGGAGCAAACAGGAUUAGAUACCCCAGUAGUC
rnacentral:rRNA from 1 species